rnacentral:rRNA from 1 species
UACGUAGGGGGCAAGCGUUGUCCGGAUUUAUUGGGCGUAAAGAGCGUGUAGGCGGUUAUACAGGUCCGCUGUGAAAACUCGAGGCUCAACCUCGAGACGCCGGUGGAAACCAUCAGACUAGAGUCCGGAAGAGGAGAGUGGAAUUCCUGGUGUAGCGGUGAAAUGCGCAGAUAUCAGGAAGAACACCCGUGGCUAAGGCGGCUCUCUAGUACGGUACUGACGCUGAGACGCGAAAGCGUGGGGAGCGAACAGG